GACCGAAAUAGGGUGAAG
rnacentral:sRNA from 1 species